rnacentral:rRNA from 1 species
UACAGAGGUCCCGAGCGUUGUUCGGAUUCACUGGGCGUAAAGGGUGCGUAGGCGGCGCGGUAAGUCGGGUGUGAAAUCUCGGGGCUUAACUCCGAAACUGCAUUCGAUACUGCCGUGCUUGAGGGCUUCAGAGGGACACGGAAUUCCGGGUGGAGUGGUGAAAUGCGGUGAGAGAUACCGGAGGAACACCAAUGGCGAAGGCGAGUGUCCUGGGAAGCAGUCUGACGCUCAGGUGCGAAAGCU